UACGGAGGGUGCAAGCGUUUGUCCGGAUUUAUUGGGUUUAAAGGGUGCGUAGGCGGCUUUUUAAGUCAGUGGUGAAAGCCGAUCGCUUAACGAUCGAACUGCCAUUGAUACUGAAAGGCUUGAGUAUAGAUGAGGUAGGCGGAAUUGACAGUGUAGCGGUGAAAUGCAUAGAUAUUGUCAAGAACACCAAUUGCGAAGGCAGCUUACUAAGUUAUAACUGACGCUGAGGCACGAAAGUGCGGGGAUCAAACAGG
rnacentral:rRNA from 1 species